UUCUUCCUCAUCCACUCCAAAAGUAGCACAACUGAGCAAUUUUUCUAAUACAUAAACCAAUUACUACUUAAAAGUAAAAGAAAUCAACUCUCCUGCUAGAAAUGUUUUAUUUUUUCCUUUGUUGAGUCUUAGUGUUACAGAGGAAAAGCA